rnacentral:rRNA from 1 species
GACGAACGCUGGCGGCGUGCUUAACACAUGCAAGUCGAACGGAAAGGCCCUGCUUUUGUGGGGUGCUCGAGUGGCGAACGGGUGAGUAACACGUGAGUAACCUGCCCUUGACUUUGGGAUAACUUCAGGAAACUGGGGCUAAUACCGGAUAGGAGCUCCUGCUGCAUGGUGGGGGUUGGAAAGUUUCGGCGGUUGGGGAUGGACUCGCGGCUUAUCAGCUUGUUGGUGGGGUAGUGGCUUACCAAGGCUUUGACGGGUAGCCGGCCUGAGAGGGUGACCGGCCACAUUGGGACUGAGAUACGGCCCAGACUCCUACGGGAGGCAGCAGUGGGGAAUAUUGCACAAUGGGCGGAAGCCUGAUGCAGCAACGCCGCGUGCGGGAUGACGGCCUUCGGGUUGUAAACCGCUUUCGCCCGUGACGAAGCGUGAGUGACGGUAAUGGGUAAAGAAGCACCGGCUAACUACGUGCCAGCAGCCGCGGUGAUACGUAGGGUGCGAGCGUUGUCCGGAUUUAUUGGGCGUAAAGGGCUCGUAGGUGGUUGAUCGCGUCGGAAGUGUAAUCUUGGGGCUUAACCCUGAGCGUGCUUUCGAUGCGGGUUGACUUGAGGAAGGUAGGGGAGAAUGGAAUUCCUGGUGGAGCGGUGGAAUGCGCAGAUAUCAGGAGGAACACCAGUGGCGAAGGCGGUUCUCUGGGCCUUUCCUGACGCUGAGGAGCGAAAGCGUGGGGAGCGAACAGGCUUAGAUACCCUGGUAGUCCACGCUGUAAACGGUGGGUACUAGGUGUGGGGUCCAUUCCACGGGUUCCGUGCCGUAGCUAACGCUUUAAGUACCCCGCCUGGGGAGUACGGCCGCAAGGCUAAAACUCAAAGGAAUUGACGGGGCCCCGCACAAGCGGCGGAGCAUGCGGAUUAAUUCGAUGCAACGCGUAGAACCUUACCUGGGUUUGACAUGGAUCGGGAGUGCUCAGAGAUGGGUGUGCCUCUUUUGGGGUCGGUUCACAGGUGGUGCAUGGCUGUCGUCAGCUCGUGUCGUGAGAUGUUGGGUUAAGUCCCGCAACGAGCGCAACCCUUGUUCACUGUUGCCAGCACGUUAUGGUGGGGACUCAGUGGAGACCGCCGGGGUCAACUCGGAGGAAGGUGGGGAUGACGUCAAGUCAUCAUGCCCCUUAUGUCCAGGGCUUCACGCAUGCUACAAUGGCUGGUACAGAGAGUGGCGAGCCUGUGAGGGUGAGCGAAUCUCGGAAAGCCGGUCUCAGUUCGGAUUGGGGUCUGCAACUCGACCUCAUGAAGUCGGAGUCGCUAGUAAGGGCAGAUCAGCAACGCUGCGGUGAAUACGUUCCCGGUUCA